rnacentral:rRNA from 1 species
AGUGAACGCUGGCGGUAGGCCUAACACAUGCAAGUCGAACGGCAGCACAGUAAGAGCUUGCUCUUACGGGUGGCGAGUGGCGGACGGGUGAGGAAUAGAUCGGAAUCUACUUUUUCGUGGGGGAUAACGUAGGGAAACUUACGCUAAUACAGCAUACGACCUACGGGUGAAAGCAGGGGAUAUUCGGACCUUGCGCGAUUGAAUGAGCCGAGGUCGGAUUAGCUAGUUGGCGGGGUAAAGGCCCACUAAGGCGACGAUCCGUAGCUGGUCUGAGAGGAUGAUCAGCCACACUGGAACUGAGACACGGUCCAGACUCCUACGGGAGGCAGCAGUGGGGAAUAUUGGACAAUGGGCGCAAGCCUGAUCCAGCCAUACCGCGUGUGUGAAGAAGGCCUUCGGGUUGUAAAGCCCUUUUGUUGGGAAAGAAAAGCAGCAUGUUAAUACCCCGCUGUUCUGACGGUACCCAAAGAAUAAGCACCGGCUAACUUCGUG